ACCUGACCCCAUACCGAACUCAGAAGUGAAACGCCGAUGCGCCGAUGGUAGUGUGGGGCUUCCCCAUGUGAGAGUAGGACACCGCCAGGU
rnacentral:rRNA from 1 species